GAUGAACGCUGGCGGCGUGCUUAACACAUGCAAGUCGAACGAAGAUGCCGGAGUGCUUGCACUUUGGCAGACUGAGUGGCGGACGGGUGAGUAACGCGUGGGUAACCUGCCUUAUACAGGGGGAUAACAGUUGGAAACGACUGCUAAUACCGCAUAAGCGCACGGUAUCGCAUGAUACAGUGUGAAAAAACUCCGGUGGUAUAAGAUGGACCCGCGUCUGAUUAGCUUGUUGGUGAAGGUAACGGCCCACCAAAGGCGACGAUCAGUAGCCGGCCUGAGAGGGUGAACGGCCACAUUGGGACUGAGACACGGCCCAAACUCCUACGGGAGGGCAGCAGUGGGGGAAAUAUUGCACAAUGGGGGAAACCCGUA
rnacentral:rRNA from 1 species